rnacentral:rRNA from 1 species
GCUCGCGCCUGACUCGCCGGCCGCCCGCGCUCGCGCCCAUGCUCACCGGUCAAACCUGCGCCGCCCGUGCUCGCCAGCCACUCCCACCCGCCGCUAAUCGCAGUCGAGCCUGCAGGUCCAUGGUGAAAAAAGGAUGUAGCCAAAAUCCUCGACGGGCGUAGAAAAGAGUACAGAGGUUGUAUCAAAAAUAGGUCGCCGCCGUCGAGCCUGCAGGUUCAUCAUGAAAAAAGGGAUGUAGCACAAACCAUCAACGGACGUAGCAAAAAUUACAACGGUUGUAGCAAAAAAAUAGGUCGCCGCCGUCGAGCCUACAAGUUCACCAUGAAAGAAGGAUGUAGCAAAAAUCAUCCACAGACAUAUCAAAAAUUACAACGGUUGUAGCAAAAAUAGGUCGCCGCCAUCGAGCCUACAGGUUCACCAUGAAAGAAGGAUGUAGCAAAAAUCAUCCACAGACGUAGCAAAAACUACAACGGUUGUAGCAAAAAAUAGGUCGCUGUCGUCACGGGACGCAGCUCGGCCGUGAAUGAAUGUAGCAAAAUCCGUAGCCGUUUCCAGCAAAAUUCGCCGCCGAUACCAGCAAGAAGGAAAAACGGUUGUAGCACUUGUAUUCCAGUGAAAAGAAAAGUCACCGUUCACCGCACGCAGCUCCCCCGGAGGCCGAUUGCAGCUCCCCGCCAUCCAUGGUUGCAGCUCGAAUUUCGGCCGCAGCUCCCAUGGACGCCGGUCGUAGCUCCCACGAAAACGGGUUGCAGCUCCUGCCGUCCAUGGUUGCAGCUCGCCGCUCCGGGCGUCGGGGGAGAAGAGGAUGCAGUUCCACAUCCAUGGACGCAGCUCCCGCUUGCAUCAGCUCUGGCGUCCUAAAAAAUGCAGUCGCCAGCGCUGGUAUUUUAGACUCAGAGAGAGGGCGGCGGUGGGGAUAAGGUUUGUG